CCUACGGGAGGCAGCAGUGGGGAAUAUUGCGCAAUGGACGAAAGUCUGACGCAGCAACGCCGCGUGAGGGAUGAAGUACGUCGAGAUGUAAACCUCUUUCAGCAGGGACGAAGCGAAAGUGACGGUACCUGCAGAAGAAGGACCGGCUAACUACGUGCCAGCAGCCGCGGUAAUACGUAGGGUCCGAGCGUUGUCCGGAUUUAUUGGGCGUAAAGGGCUCGUAGGCGGUUUGUCGCGUCGGAUGUGAAAACUCGGAGCUUAACUCCGGGCCUGCAUUCGAUACGGGCAGACUAGAGUUCGGUAGGGGAGACUGGAACUCCUGGUGUAGCGGUGGAAUGCGCAGAUAUCAGGAAGAACACCGAUGGCGAAGGCAGGUCUCUGGGCCGACACUGACGCUGAGGAGCGAAAGCGUGGGGAGCAAACAGGAUUAGAUACCCUGGUAGUCCACGCCGUAAACGGUGGGCGCUAGGUGUGGGGAACUAUCUACGUUUUCCGCGCCGCAGCUAACGCAUUAAGCGCCCCGCCUGGGGAGUACGGCCGCAAGGCUAAAACUCAAAGGAAUUGACGG
rnacentral:rRNA from 1 species